AACUGUUAGCCACUACGUAGCUAGCGCACCUUACUCACUUCCUAGCUACGCCGCUGUUACUGGUGAGUGGUAAUGAUCCAUCUCUUAUCAACGAUCCGGUGAGUACCGAUAAGAAUAGAAGGGAAGAACCAAAACAAAACAGGUAGGCGGAAAACUAAUCAGAAUUCGUCAUCAGUGAUAGAAUAUAAUUGCAUUGCCCAAGUUUCUUAGCUAGUGUUAAUCUAAUCCCAGUUGUACUGAACUUAAAUACAAUAAUUAGUUAAGUGCUGUAGGAGCUGAAUUUGAUCUACUAAAAUAGGUUACGAAUAGAGUUAAAGCAUCAGCGGGAUAGCCUGAUGAUCCCUAAGUUUAAUAGCCGAGAAUAAGCAAACAUACAUUACGAUAGCAAGAUAAUUACUGCAGAACUGCUUACAAAUAUCCUUCUGUGAACCUCCUGUCGCGCCAACCAAGCCUGAUUGUCAGCACAUGUUGUAUGAAAACCUAGUGAAGGGACUAAACCGCUAUCAUGAUUUCGUAUGUGAAGAUGGUCAUCGGCUUGGUGGCAGCUGCAAAAACAGCCGAACUCGGCGCUGCUGGUUACUCUUGGCAAUGAAUGAACCAGCUGCAAGGAGAACCCAUUGUUCCGGAUCACCUAUACGUGGACAUCAAACCAAAAAGUCUCAUUCACCAGCAUCAAGCGUAGGCCAUCCUGAACAACAGCCUGGAUCCAAGAAGCAAGCGCUGAAAGAAAGCCAUCUCUUUGAGGUUUAUUUAGCUAAGUAAUUGCUGCAUUCAUGGACUUUAAUCAGAAUAUGAAAUGUAAGUGACUGGAUCACCGAUGACUAAUCGCACCACCUCAACGGAGCGCGAGCUUCGAAAGCAUUGUUCAAGGCAAAAUUGUGCCACGAUUCAAUUUUUUAUUUUAAAUAUCGAAUAAGGCAAUCUUAAGCUUUAAAAAACAUUUAAAAUAUUUUGUCUUCAAUGAAAAUUAUUUCUUAAAUUGAAUAAGUCACAAUGAAACAAGAAAUAAGUGUAGUAUAAAUUCAAUUCCAACAGAAUUUUGUCUACACUUAUUUUCUUCUUUCAUUGUUUCGUAUUAAAUUUAUUGAUCAAUUAUUCUUUAACGGUAAAAGCAUAAAGAAACAAUACGAUAUUAGGUUAAAAUACUAUAUGGCACAAUAAAUCAAUUAUUACAUAAACAUUCAU
rnacentral:lncRNA from 11 species